rnacentral:lncRNA from 13 species
CUGACCACCCUCCAGCCCCCAAAACCAGGCACACCAGAAAUAAUUGACAAUUUCCUUCCCCCAAAGGUGAUCCUUCUGAUUUAGGGCCCCUGACUAUAUCUGACACCAAUUCAUCCCAGACCAAGAUUUUAGAAGUCGGGUGCAGACUCGGAGUUGAAAAGUGCUGUUUGAAAGAGCUUCAGACUAAACAAAUUAGAUGUGCAAAACACACCUGGCUCUUAUCUCCCUCACAGCUAAACCUUGGACUAGGAGAGCUAAAUAAAACCUACGAGCCAUUUCCUGGCCACUAUGGGAGAUUUCCCCUAAAGUUUAUUUUUUAAGCUUCAGUGUCUGUUUCUUAAUUACUUAAAGGUCCGUGGAUUCGUUCUGUUGUAUGAAAUUUGAUAUAAAUUGUUUACUAGACUUAAGGGGAUGAGGAGAUUAUGCACUUUCUUAUUUUUAAUAUUUCUCUCUCCUAUCUGCUGUGACCAGACAGAAAUUUCAAGCAACAGUUUUUGGAAAACAUAUGGAGACCAGCCUGGGAAUUUUGUAAGUACGAGAUGGAAUGAAGAAACUCUGACAAGAAUACUGAGAAUGAAUAUUAGCAGAAAAUGCAGAAAUUCUGCUCUGGCCUUGGUGUCAUCCUGUGGGGUGAGUGUCCCUCCCAUGGGGAUGCAGAUUAUGGAGCAGCAGUGGAGGUGUCCGCCUGCCUUUCCUAGGUGGAAGAGCCGGGUGAGGCACAAGGAGACAAGCUCAUUAUUGACUCUCUCAAAGGCCACAGGGGCAAGACUGGGCUAAUAAAUUCUCUUUUAAAGUAAGUGAAUGCUCCUGCUGCCUCAUGCCCUCCCCUUAGCCUCUCACUACCUUUUUUGGAUGCUGCACAAAUCCCCAGGUUUUUUUUCCUCAGCAAAGAUGUUUUCUGUUCUGGGUCAAGUUGGACUGAGCUUUUAGUUUGCCGUUUGCUUUGUGGGGGUGGAUUUUUGUUUGUUUGUUUGUUUGUUUUGAAAUGAUUUUUGCACCACCAGCAGCACAUAUACAGUUGGAAAUGGAGUAAGUGGAGAUUUGAAUGUCAAAAAAUGUGGAGAGGUGGAGCUUAGGGACAAGGGGUAGUGGUGGGUUUGGCUGUGCUGUGUUAACUGUUGGACUUGAUGGUCUUAGAGGGUUUUCCCAACCCUAAUGGUUCUGUGAUUCCAUGAUUCCAUACAGGAUUGCUCAGUUUGUCAGUGUGCUGUGAUUUGUGUGAAACUUCCCUGGAGCAGCCUGUGUUGUGGCAGGGGGGAGAAGAGAAAUCUCUGGAGCUGGAGGAUGCCUGGUUGGGGAGCAGCUCAGGGGAAGCCAACCCAGACUAAAAGAGGGUCUCCCUGGGUUGAUGACAGUUCUAAACCCAGAUCAAAUGCUUGCUUUAAAGCAGCCAUGCAGCAUUUGCUUAAACUGGGCCUGAAUUGCAUUUGAAUUAAUCCCAUCACCACCUUGUCUGUCCAGAUCAGUUGCUUCAGUACCAAUAUCCAUUACGGUCCUCCCAAAACACAGCAGCAUCCGUCACCUGUCACACAUUUGGGGCUGCAGCUGUGGAUCAGAUGUAAAAGGCACAGAGAGAAUCCCUCAGACAGGUGGGUGCAGUCUAGGAGAGAGACACACUGACCCUGCUUAGCCUGGUGAAAGAAAUAAGGGUAAAAAUUUGCAAAAAUGCCUCAGUUUUGCAAAAAGUGGGUGCUCUGUGGGGUCAUUUUUUUUCCCCUAAUCCUUUCUUUACCCAGUAACGAACAUAAAAGCAUGAUCCUAAUUUAUGGUGCAUUGAUACAAAACAAAUUAUAUUAUUAAUACCUGUAUCUAUAAGGAUAAAGCAUUUAAUGGGUUUGAAGCAGUUCUCUACCAACUGGAGCACACAAUAAAUACCUGGAUACACAGAUUUUAGGCACUUUAAGCUUUUUACUGCAUCAGAGAGAUCAAGUAGCUUUGACUACUGCAUCCCAAAUAAGUUUAUUCCUGCAGAAUUCUUGUGAGUGAUUUAGUGUGUAACGAGAUAUUUCGUCACUCCCAAUAAAUUGAUGUAUUGCAUGUCUCUUCCACGCCUGCUUCGUUAUCCUUUUGUAUUGAUUUGCGUUCUUUGCCAUUUUGAAAUACACUUUUUUAUAUUAUUAAAUGAUGUGUUUUUGUGAUAAUGCCUGGAUGUUUGUGUCCCAUUGGAUGGGGCUUGAUGCAAACGUGAUAAUGAAAAAUGUGAUCCCUCCCUCCGAGUCCUGUUCCCUCUACAUUUAUUAGAGUUGCACACAUUAAAAUGUGGUAUAAUUUUUUCAGUGUCUGUCUGUACAUACAGGCACUCAUGUCUACAUCAGAGGAAAAAAUCCUCGAUACUUUAAUAGUUGUGCCAGCCAGCAAUGUUUUAUACAAAUAACAAAACAUGUAAAAUGUAAUAGAGAAUAUAUAUAUUUCUUCUAAUCUAUCCCCUAUAUUUCCAUGUAUGUGGUAUUAUUUAAUGAGCUGAACUCUGGUGGAUAAUUUGAAAAAAAUUCUACAUGAAAUGGCAAAGAAAUUCUCCCAAAGUGUUUUGUUUUAUACAUGCAAUAUAAAGAUACAACUUUGCAUGUGCACACUUUGUUUUUCUAAUUUAUAAUAAAAUGUACAAAAAGAUUUUCAAAGCAAAUGGUUUCAAAUCAAAGACUUGGGUUUAUAGCUAAAGCAAGGAAGAGGGCAGAGAUUCUCUGCUUCCAUGUAACUGGGAAGAGUUUUAUUAUCCAAAGUCAUGCAAAAAUUAUGUUCUCCAUCACAGACCUUGAAAUGCCUGACUUUUUCCCAUUUCGUACACUCCAAAAUGAAUUGGUAAAAGUUGUGUGGAAAACCUUAAAGCAAAGUCAAGGAAGCCAAGGAAAACCUUCAACCAAGGUCAGCCUUCAUGUGUGAUGCAGACAGCGGUCGCUCUAACUGGGGGUAACGGGAGAUCCAAAUGGGUUUAAAAAAGAAAUAAUUAUUGCAGGUGUCCCUUGCCUUCUGACAUGAAUCUCCUUAUGAAAAGCAAGUCAUUUACCAGUGGUUUAUAGGGCUGGAGUAUUCCUCCAUGAAUGGGGGGAAAAUAAUCCAGCAGCGAGGACGGGCUUCUCCUCUUUGCGCGAUAACGCUCGCGCCGGUCUGGGCCCGGCCCAAGGUACGUGGGAGUCAGGAUUAACUGACAGCAGCAAAGGCUGAUUUACAGAAACCACAUGAGGAGUUCCUGAGCACAGCCCAGAUAACAAAAAUAUUAUCGCCGCUGUUUACAGUGAAGCCGGUCAGUUUAUUUCUCCGAGUGCUUCAUUAUGUAUAAAAGAUGCCAGCGAUAGGCUCCCAGUCAAAAUAAACAGGCAGAAAGUGUUCCACAUACACAGUUUGGAGAGAACGGUUACUUUGCUAUUUAUUUAAUAAUUGACCAUAAAUGGAGUCAAAGUGCAAAGGGAAAAAAAAAAAAAAUCCUAAAAAAAAGCAGCACACUAAGGGCUUUUUGAAAGAUUGAUAAAUAAUGUGGAAUCUCAAUUAGGCUUUAGAAGGAAUGCAGAUAUUAAAAAUUUGGUCAAGAAUCUAAUUAGCUGGAGGUAAUUAAACAGUCUCACACGGGGUCAUUAAUCUUUUCCACAGACCUUUGAUGUUUUGCACACUGUCUUCUAGUCAUUAAUAAAAUUCAUAACACUCCUCUUUGUGGUGUUUUA